AUUGAACGCUGGCGGCAGGCCUAACACAUGCAAGUCGAGCGGAUGAAGGGAGCUUGCUCCUGGAUUCAGCGGCGGACGGGUGAGUAAUGCCUAGGAAUCUGCCUGGUAGUGGGGGAUAACGUCCGGAAACGGGCGCUAAUACCGCAUACGUCCUGAGGGAGAAAGUGGGGGAUCUUCGGACCUCACGCUAUCAGAUGAGCCUAGGUCGGAUUAGCUAGUUGGUGGGGUAAAGGCCUACCAAGGCGACGAUCCGUAACUGGUCUGAGAGGAUGAUCAGGCACACUGGAACUGAGACACGGUCCAGACUCCUACGGGAGGCAGCAGUGGGGAAUAUUGGACAAUGGGCGAAAGCCUGAUCCAGCCAUGCCGCGUGUGUGAAGAAGGUCUUCGGAUUGUAGAGCACUUUAAGUUGGGAGGAAGGGCAGUAAGGUAAUACCUUGCUGUUUUGACGUUACCAACAGAAUAAGCACCGGCUAACUUCGUG
rnacentral:rRNA from 1 species